UUUCACACAGCAGACAUGUGGGCGGGACCAACCUCCAAGGCGCGCGCCGAUUGGCCGACAGCGACCAAAGGCGGAAGUGCACGAAGCAGUGGGGAUUCCCCGAGGGAAGUUCCCAACUCCGCUAAGUCCCAUGUCUGCUCUGUCAGUGAUGAUUGUGGCGUACACGGCAUGGAGAGGAACAUUGGAGACCAGCUCAACAAAGCUUUCGAAGCUUAUCGGCAGGUCUCAAUUGAAAAGGACAAUGCCAAAAAGGAGCUGCAGCAAAUGACUGAAUAUUAUCAGCAAUAUAUUCAAAAACUCCAGAGGCAGAUAGAAGACCAGCAGCAGCUGAUUGCACAACUUAAAGCUCAGCUGUCCGCAACAAGGAAGCCUUCAGGGGAGGUGAAAUGGGAGCCGUGCAUCCAUCUUGUUGAUGGGGGCAGCACACAUGGGAAAAUACAACAUCCGGAGACCAAAGGUACCGUUGCUGUUCCGCUAAAGACGGUCAAUAACAGCAUUGACUAUCAGGACAUGCUGGAUGCACUGGAAGCCAUUCAUGGGACCUUUCGGCAGAUUCGCUCUCUAUCUCGAAGGCAAAAAGAUUACCUGAAGAGAUUCCGCGGGGGAAUAGAAACUGCAAAUGAUCAGCAGUUCUCCAUGCCCAUCCAGUGCACAGACCGUGCAGCAGAAGCCGAAACGCCCUUCUUCUCGGCGACAAGGUCGACAGUGGAUAUUCCGCUGGCGCCUACAUCACUGGCGUCGCGUGGUGCCAGCCCUGACGACAGGGACUUUGUAGACUCUCUCACCAAGUUCAGUGUCAAAUUCCCGCCUCCUGCGGACAGCGAAUACGACUUCCUGAACAGCGCUCCGGAGGGGCACGUUGCUCUGACGGUGCCUAUGAGGCGGCCCCUCAGCGGCAUGCCUCCCGCGGCCAACAACAACGAGGAGGAGGAUGAGCCCUCGGAACUGCCCGUGCCUUUUGUCAUCCCUGUAUUCCCCUCCCACACGACGUCCUCCUCGCUCUCCCAGGAGGACGUUCGGGGGCCGCAGCAGUCUCUGUGGAGCCCCGAGCUGUGCGAGGCAACCGACGUGGGUGCGGAGUUGGCGACAACUCAGAGCAGCAUCCCGGAUAAAUGCGCUUUCUGCCACGCCGUGGUUCCUCAGGAGCAAAUGAACAGCCACCUCUACUCACAUUUCUCUCCUAAGGAUGAAACCCACCGCUGACUUUGGACCGCCACGGCCAGAGACUUCAUGUUUACCAGGGGGGUCUUGGACAUGCACACCUACCAGCCGCCUCAUUUGGUCAUUCUACUGAGGUGGUACACAAUUUGUGACAUCAACUACUACUGGAGCUAGUUGGGUAUCUUCUGCGCUUCUUCUUGCUGCAUCUCGACCAAUAGACGUCAUUGCUGCCCUCCAUGUUGCGGCUCAACCUGGUGCUACAUUGAAGGAGCGCAUCAAAUAAUCACACGGAAUCAGGUCAGGUGAGUAGGGCGGUUGAUCCAGUAGUCCGAUGUUCUGCUCGGCUAGGAACUGUCAGAUGCUCAGGUGCGUUGUCAUGGUGAAACAGCCAGGAGUUGUCCGACCACAACUCUCGCUUCUACCACGCGCUGAACGGAGCGAACGCCUCAGGAUCUCUCUGUAGACAUGCUGGUGGAUCGUCUGGUCCUACUGAACCUUGUAUGGCAGAAACGACUGCGCCAGAAGAGCCAGAACACCACUGACCACACAUUCAAUCUAUGAUUACAUUUUUGAAUGUUUUUAAAGUACAAGAAAAAAAAAAACAUUCAACAAACAAGAAAGGCUCUAUUUUCGCGACUGGCGCAAAUCCAGCGGUGCGCUUGGCGUAACUGCAAGGACGCGUGUUAGACCGGGUGUUUGUCAUUUCAUACGUACUUCGAAAAGGGGCUGUCUGCACCGUUACCGACUACAUUCGGCGCCAAUCAAAUCUGCUUCUUUCUUUGAAUCCCUUUAAGUGAAGUGUAAUGACGGUCUCCCAUUGAGAUGUCCGUGCGGAAGAGUGAUUUGUGCGUAACUGGAGCAUUGUCACUUGGCCGGCGUGGAACCAUAAGCCUGUAAUUAAGCGAUCCGAGAGUAGGCGCCUCUUGCGCACAGGUCCGGACAAGCCCGUGCUUGCAUGUUUCACAGCAAUAGAUGACUGGACCCUUCAGCCUUGCUGUAUAACGACCUCUCUUGUUAGCGUGGCACCACGUUCGUUAAAGACACAAGAUAUGUACACUUCUGUAUACACACACCAAGACUCCUACUCUUUUCGUGUUCUUAUAGUGCACUGUACACCAAUUAAGUGCUGUUGUUUUUUUUUUUUUAGUUAACUCAGUGAAGUGGAAAGUCUCUUUGCCAGUGUGUGUGCAUCCCUUUUGUAACACAAAAACACUCGCACACUGUCCUUAGUAGUAAAAGUAAUAAUAGAGUGCUACUUUUUCCUCCCACUCAAAGUGUGCUUGCUUCAAGCUAUUUGUCAUACCCAGUUAAAGCUUGCUUUAAAACAGAAAGAGAAAAGAAAAGAGAAGUAAACAUUCUAAAUUUUAUCACCAAAAUGUUCAACCAAACCAUACAAUUUUGUUUAACGAAUGUCAGCUAUGUAUCUCAAUGCUUACAUAAUGUGAAACCCUAACGUAGCAUAGAUGUUUUACAGCAAUCAUAAACCUUCAAACUGCUUCUUUAUCAUACAUGGAGCAGCAUUAUAUUCAACAAAAGACAAUUUAACAUUGUGGGCUCUAUUUGCACAACUCGCUCAAGUCCACUUUGGCGUAACUCUGCAAAGAGGUGGAGUUCACUUUUUUAUUUUAAUUUUUUUUUAAUAGAUGAAAUUAUAUGAUUUGAUUUGGGAUUGAAAUAUGUGCGUGUUGUAAUGGAAUGUUUAAUUGUCUUUUACAGUAAACAUCAAGUGGGAGUGACAA